CGAAAGUUAGAGGUUUGAAGGCGAUCAGAUACCGCCCUAAUUCUAACCAUAAACGAUGCCAGCCAGCGAUCCGGCUGUGUUCCUCAAAUGACACGCCGGGCAGCUUCCGGGAAACCAAAGCUUUUGGGUUCCGGGGGAAGUAUGGUUGCAAAGCUGAAACUUAAAGGAAUUGACGGAGGGCUACCACCAGAAUUGGAGCUUGCGGUUCAAUUUGACUCAACGCAGCGAACUCUACCAGGCCAGGACACAGGAAGGAUUGACAGAUUAAGAGCUCUUUCUUGAUUUUGUGGGUAGUGGUGCAUGGCCGCUCUUGGUUAGUGUAGUGAUUUGUCUGGUUUAUUCUGAUAACUAACGAGGCUCUAGCCUACUAAAUAGACGCUCGGAUCAUUCCUAGUCCGGCGUUUCUUCUUAGAGGGACUGGCGGCGUUUAGCCGCACGAGGCAGAGCAAUAGCAGGUCUGUAACGCCCUUAGAUGUCCUGGGCCACACGCGUGCUACAUUGAAGGAAUCAUCGUGUGCUUUCCCUUUCCGACAGGAAUGGGUAACCCGUUGAACCUCCUUCGUGCUGGGGAUAGGGGAUUGAAACUAUCCCCCUUGAACGAGGAAAUUCUAGUAAGCGUGAGUCAUCAUCUCGCGUUGAUUAGGUCCCUGGCCCUUGUACACACCGCCCGUCGCUAUUACCGAUUGAAUGUCUUAGUGAGGACUUCGGAUUGGCUGUCGAUUUGGCUUUAGGGUCGAGCCGACGUGCCGAAAAGAUGUCCGAACUUGGUCAUUUAGAGGAAAUAAAAGUCGUAACAAGG
rnacentral:rRNA from 1 species